rnacentral:rRNA from 1 species
CCUACGGGAGGCAGCAGUGGGGAAUAUUGCGCAAUGGGCGAAAGCCUGACGCAGCGACGCCGCGUGAGGGACGAAGGCCUUCGGGUUGUAAACCUCUUUCAGCAGGGACGAAGCGAAAGUGACGGUACCUGCAGAAGAAGCACCGGCUAACUACGUGCCAGCAGCCGCGGUAAUACGUAGGGUGCAAGCAUUGUCCGGAUUUAUUGGGCGUAAAGAGCUCGUAGGCGGCUUGUCACGUCGGGUGUGAAAACUCGGGGCUCAACCCCGAGCCUGCACUCGA